CAUGUAGGCGGUUUUGCGCGUUUCGCGUGACAGCGGGUGGCUUAACUACCCGAGGGUGCUAAAGACGGCGAGACUUGAGGGCCAGAGAGGGACACGGAAUUCCGGGUGGAGUGGUGAAAUGCGUAGAGAUCCGGAGGAACACCGAAGGCGAAGGCAGUGUCCUGGCUGGUGACUGACGCUGAGGUGCGAAAGCCAGGGGGAGCGAACGGGAUUAGAUACCCCGGUAGUCCUGGCCGUAAACGAUGACCACCAGGUGUGGGAGGUAUCGACCCCUUCCGUGCCGGAGGAAACCCACUGAGUGGUCCGCCUGGGGAGUACGGUCGCAAGGUUAAA
rnacentral:rRNA from 1 species